GCCAGCGUGGCGCAACGGUAGCGCAGCGGUUUUGUAAACCGAGGGUUGCGGGUUCGAUUCCUGCCGCUGGCACCA
rnacentral:tRNA from 1 species